GCGGGUGUGCCGGAGCGGUCAAACGGGCGAGAUUAAGGCUCUCGUAGCUUAGUGCUUGCAAAGGUUCGAAUCCUUUCACCCGCA
rnacentral:tRNA from 1 species